UACGUAGGGUGCAAGCGUUGUCCGGAAUUAUUGGGCGUAAAGAGCUCGUAGGCGGUUUGUCGCGUCUGCUGUGAAAACCCGAGGCUCAACCUCGGGCCUGCAGUGGGUACGGGCAAACUAGAGUGCGGUAGGGGAGAAUGGAAUUCCUGGUGUAGCGGUGGAAUGCGCAGAUAUCAGGAGGAACACCGAUGGCGAAGGCAGGUCUCUGGGCCGAUACUGACGCUGAGGAGCGAAAGCGUGGGGAGCGAACAGG
rnacentral:rRNA from 1 species